rnacentral:lncRNA from 1 species
GAGGGAGAUAAUAAACCUUUAUUUGUGUUAACAGGCAGGAGAGGCUGGUGGAGGUAGGGCAGACAUCAGGUUCCAUCGACUGACCCAGGCACUGGCUGGAGUUCAGAUUAAAUGUUCAGGUGAACUGUGGUGGUGGCGGCGGUGGCGGCGGCGGCAGUGGCAGUGGCGGUGGUAGGGACUCUCCUCCACGUUUGCUCGGUAUGCACAUGAGAAUAAACGGUUAGUCAGCAGCAGUGGGGAUAGAGUUUUGACACAUGGGAUGCUUUCUGAUAUGAUACUAAACUUUGUUAAAAAUGGGUCGGAUAAUAGAGGAUGGUUGUGAAAGGCUUCCCUAGGGGCCAGAGAAAAGAGGCCAGAGUUCCAAUUCAGCGGGUUAUUUUGGGCUUACCCCAGGCAGCGGGGCAGACGAGACAUCCUCUUAGCGCCCUAUUGUUCCCUUCCUCUGACCCAUAAUAAACGAGGCUGCACUCCUGUUGCGAAGAAGCGUUCAAGCAUGCUCACAAAUGCUCACACUGUUGGCCAGUCCAGUCCCGUGGCUGUAAAUGUCGAUAUGGAAGGUUCUGAAGUCACCUUUUGUCUAGAAAACUACUUCCAUGGCUUAGCACAGAAAAUCCAAAUCUUUUUCUGUAAAGGGCUUUGUUCUGCAUCUCAAAGUGAACAGGCGAGGCCUACCAGGUUACCUCCGGAGUCAGCACCCUCCUGGAGUGACUGCUCCAGUUUGUCACCUGAGUCCCCAGGAGUCAGUGGCGGUGGCGGUGGCGGUGGCAGUGGCAGCAGCAGCAGCAAAACCAAUCGUUCCAGGUCAGAAUAUAGCAUCCGACCCGGAGUUAGCAUAGGUCCACAAAACAAGGGCAACAACACGCCACGAAAUGA